rnacentral:rRNA from 1 species
UAGAGUUUGAUCCUGGCUCAGAACGAACGCUGGCGGCAGGCUUAACACAUGCAAGUCGAGCGCCCCGCAAGGGGAGCGGCAGACGGGUGAGUAACGCGUGGGAAUCUACCUUUUGCUACGGAAUAGCUCAGGGAAACUUGUGCUAAUACCGUAUGUGCCCUUCGGGGGAAAGAUUUAUCGGCAAAGGAUGAGCCCGCGUUGGAUUAGCUAGUUGGUGAGGUAAAGGCUCACCAAGGCGACGAUCCAUAGCUGGUCUGAGAGGAUGAUCAGCCACACUGGGACUGAGACACGGCCCAGACUCCUACGGGAGGCAGCAGUGGGGAAUAUUGGACAAUGGGCGCAAGCCUGAUCCAGCCAUGCCGCGUGAGUGAUGAAGGCCCUAGGGUUGUAAAGCUCUUUCACCGGUGAAGAUAAUGACGGUAACCGGAGAAGAAGCCCCGGCUAACUUCGUGCCAGCAGCCGCGGUAA